GCUCUAUCAGACUAAUACAAGUCUUAGUCUGCUAAGUUUUGGGAUAAUUUGUUACACAGCUAUAGAUAGCUGAUACAGUCAUCAACAUGCAUCAAUUUUCCAUUUACCCUGAGCUGGGGACAAGACAAAGUCUCUGGUCUUUAAGAAUCUUACACUCAGCAGAGCAUGAUGGCUGACACCUGUAAUCAUAGCACUUUGGGAGGCUGAGACAGGUGGAUCACUUCAGGCCACAAGUUUGAGACCAGCCUAGGCCACAUGGCAAAACCCCAUCUCUACAAAAAAGGACACAAAAAUUUGUUGGUCCUGGUGGCGUGCAUCUGUAGUUCCAGAUACUCGGGAGGCUGAGGUGGGAGGAUCCCUUGAGCCUUGGAGGUCAAGGCUGUAGUCAGCCAAGAUCACACCACUGCAUUCCAGCCUGGGCAACAGAGCAAGACUCUAUAUCAGAAGAAAGAAUAUUACAGUCUAUGGAAGAAAAUCACCAAAUAUAAUAAAGUAAUGGAACUCAAAAACAAUAAAAUAAUCAUGUUACUAGAGAGAUGGACAAAAUGCCAUUGAAGACUUGGGGAGAGGGCAGUUCACUCAGUUCUAUGGUGGGAGAAAGAGGAAGCUAGCCCCAUUUCUCUGAGGAACAGUGACUGAGGGGACGUUUAAAGAUGAGUUGAAGUUCUACAAGCUGAACAGAGAGGAGACGGCAGUCCAAAUACCACCUGUACCCCAAUAACUUACGGAAUUUUUUUUUUCCAAAAGAAGAGCUGCUCUUUCAAAGGCACAAAUGCAAGUGAUAGCUGCACGCUACCUCCUUGCUGUCCAUGUGCUGUGUGAUGUGCUAAGCAGUGUGCAGACAUUGCCUUAUUUGAUCCUCAUAACAGUCCACUGAAGCUGAUGCCAUAAUCGUCUCCAUUUUGUCAUUGAAUACAUAGAGGCUGAAGGAGGGAAAGCGAGUUCCCCAAGGUCAUACAGCUCAUAGGUUGCCAGGAUUUCACUCCCAGGCCAGCAAGUUGAAAAGAGAAAAUGUCCUUAGAAGACACAGGCUUCUAAGAAGUCAAACACAAAGGCCUAGGAGAGAAACUGAGAAGGAUCAGUGUGAGAGAUAAGAGGAAAAUUAAUGUGAUCCCAGAUCAAAAGGAAGCAUCUUGCUGGGUGAGAAUGGUGUUGGCUGCCAAAGGCAGUAGAGCAUCUGGUAGACGAUGGACUUUUGGGAGAUCUCCAGCGAGGAGCUCCCAUGGUUUAACAAGAACAGAAACAAGAUUCCCGCCAAGUGAGUGAGGGUAGUGACAAUCAAGAAAUAGGUUCAUAAAAUGAAACUGAGAAUGGGACAAUGGCUAGGUCAUCUUGUGGUAAGCUUGAUGUGUAGAAUCCUUCCUUACUUCAGCCCUUCCCUGUUUGAUGCUAGAAGUUUCUUCAAGUCAAUUGGGUUUUAACGGUGCACACAUCUGCAUACUGCUGUGAUUGAGCCUUCACCUUCUCUUCCUUUUUAAUGGGCCUAGAGUAUUCUGGUGAAGCACGCCACCAUGCUUCAGACUUUGACCGGCCUACGGGUGGGAGAAGUGGAGAACGAAUGCUUUCCUUUUUGGCUAAGGCUCAGCAGGGGACAUUGGGAGGCCCGAUGUCAGUGGACUUGCAUGUAGAGGACAAACUUCAAGGCAAAGGAGCCCACUAGUAAGGUCCUCCCAGCACCACCCAACCCUGGAAUGUGGGGUAAUUGAACUCAUGUGCCAAGGAGAAGGUUGAAUUGGAAAACACAGAUGAAAAUUUCUUGCCAUUUUGAUUUCUACAAAGCCCUGUCAAGGCCUGUCUCUGAGUCAGUCCUGGCCCAGGAGACUGCUUACUUUCCAUGCUGUGGAGAACACCCAUGAACGUGGCACACUUUCCUAGGGAUCUUUGAGCUAACAUUGUCUUUGUUUUUAACUGACCUUAGCUUGACACCCCAGAGGGUCGUGUUUAGAAGGGGCAAUGCUUUCUGGAAAGUUUUGUGCCCACAGACACACACACACACACACAGAACAUACCAGACAGUGAAGGGUUGACUCUGUCUCUGAGAGUGGAGCAAUCACAGAGGCAGGGUCUUGGAUUAUAGGUCCUGUUUCAUGUCCCUUCUGUAAAGGACAUGCAGGUUUAGGGCAUGUUGAGUUCAGAUGUUAAUUUUCAGUCAUGUAACACGAAAACCCAGCAACAUCCCACGUGGAGUCCACACCUCCCACGAUAGAAUGUGCUUGGUGGAACUGGGUGGAGCACAAGCGCAGCACAGCCGUGGGCGGGUCCUGUGGGCUGUGGAGAGGGGGUCACAGUGGAACUCUGAGCAAUAGGAUAUGUGGAAUUUUGUAACUAAAGGUAUGUGGGAUCUGCAAUUUGUAAAUUGUGACAAUGCAAAACUAGCAAAUGGGCCAGAGAAACUUAAAGAGAGGCUGUGUGUACCAUCCAGUGUGGAAAGCUGCAAACCUCAACCAAAUCAGUCAUGCUGGGAUGCCCACGCUAUAGCAGCUGCCAGACUGACCGCAUUGUAUGAGGUUAGUCUUUUCUCUACAUAGUACUUAACAUGGACUUAUACUUCUCUUGUUAAUUUGCGUUGUUAUUUAUUGUCUGAUGGACUGAUCACUUGCUUUGCUUCUCUCCAUCCUCCACAAAAUAGAACCUCCAUGACAUUAGGACCAGCAUCCUCUCACUCACUGUUGUCUCUGCCACAAUUGCAACAGUGCCUGGUGUUUUGGAAGCGGCUGCUCCCAUGCAGAAAUGCAUGAGAGUAUCCACCCUCUCCUGCCCUCCUUCCUUUUCUUCAAAUAUUUUUUCUGCUGUGCCUGUAAGGGGAGUGGGAAUACUGAAGUGCAAGAUCACAAUCAUGUCAUUAAAUUUCCUGGUUCUUUUAGCUACCUGGUGAGAAAGGUAGAACUGGAAUCAUGAUUUUAACUUUCUAAGAAGUUUUAAGGAGACCUCUGGCCUUUCCCAGGCUGCUCUUGCAAGAGGUACUUUUCCAGGAUAUGAGGUACCUGCAGGCAGAUCCUAAGGGCCCAUCAUAAUGCUCACUCCAGCAGACACUCAGUGCACACGUGUUUGCUCCUCUAAUCAGGGUUGUGGAUAGUGUGGGGGCAAGAAUGCAAAAUGGAGAUCUGGGCUAUGCUGAUUGCUCAUUAGCUCCAGAGGACAACUCUGUUGAUAUCCCUAAAGUGGAAAACUGCACCACAACGAGCCAUAAUUUCAUCAGUAAGAUGUUAGAAACAUCACAAAUGCUUUCUAAGAAGAGGCAACAGAAGGAAACCCCAGAAAGCUUUCUAAGAAGAGACAACAGAAGGAAACCCCAGAAAGCAGAGUGUUUGUCAUGGAGAAAGACUGCCAUGUGAGGAACUUUGGUGGCAUAAGGGGAGACAAUCACCUGUUGCAGAGGACAAGAACAAGACCAUGUAAGUGCUGGCUGACAUUCUUCACUUGGAUGGAAGUUACAAGACACGUGAUUUGAUCAUUCCUUCCCUUUUUUCCCAAAAUCAACAGAGAUUUCAGCUUGUUUGCUCUCAGUUGAUGCUACUAAGUGGAAUGCAUAGAUUAAAAGUUUAAAAAGGCAAGGGAUGCUGUGGCCUGCCUUCACGUUGCAACACCUUUGAUUUCUCCUUUCUGCCUUGAACUCCCUACCAACCGGUGGAUAUCUUAGCGGAUAGU
rnacentral:lncRNA from 10 species